rnacentral:rRNA from 1 species
UUUCUGCCCUAUCAACUUUCGAUGGUAGGAUAGUGGCCUACCAUGGUGGCAACGGGUAACGGGGAAUUAGGGUUCGAUUCCGGAGAGGGAGCCUGAGAAACGGCUACCACAUCCAAGGAAGGCAGCAGGCGCGCAAAUUACCCAAUCCCGACACGGGGAGGUAGUGACAAUAAAUACUGAUACGGGGCUCUUUUGGGUCUCGUAAUUGGAAUGAGUACAAUCUAAAUCCCUAACGA